UGACUUUCCACCUGGGCCUGUUCCCCACCCCUGCACCCACCUCCUCAUCCAUGGAACAGAGAGCUGACGGUUCUUCUUCAUCCCUGUUAGCAUCUUCAUCUUUGGAUUGUGAGCCUCUCUGUGGAGCCUGUCAACUGAAAGUAGCAGCCCAGGGUGAACUGGACUGCGUGGGGAAGCAGGAAAGCUCCAGAGCCUGCACUCUGCCCAUCCUCACCUUCCUGGGGCUCAUCUGCUUGUUGCCUUGCCCAUGGCCCAGCCGGCAUCCAGGUGCAGCUCCUGGGGUCCAGCAUCUCUUCAUUCUCCCAAGAUUUGCCUUCCAAUGACUAAGUGUUUCCACAAAUCCCAGGAGUGAGCUGGCUCUGACUGGGCCUUUUCCUACCUGGAUGGAUUUUUUUUCUGCUUCCAUUUUCCCUCUAGUUUUUUACAAGUGUUUGAGAGCACAGACUGGAGAAGAAAGUGGACAUGUAUCCAUCUGUUUCGGCAUGUGGGCUGAUUGCCUUCUCAUCCGGCCUUUCUCCAAAAUGACUGCCAGGUGUCACAUCUCCCAGUGAAGUGGGAAGAAGAUACCUUCAGCGAGUGAGGUUUAGGGGGCUGGGAAAUUUCCCCAGAGUCUCCAGGUCCAUCGUGUUCCUGGCUGAACAGCAGCUGGAUCCAGGAAGGAAUGGUACCAGACAUACCACACAAGUGGUUUGCACAAACUGAGAGAUUUGUUUGUUCGCUUGUCAUAAGGUCAAGCCUAGUGAAUUCUCCUAGGUGAGCAUAGACAGCUCAUCUACAGCUCCUUCACCAGGAGAAAGUCUGGACCCAACCUUAGCACCCUCCCAGUUACUCAAGUCAACAACCUAAAUGCAGUGAUGCAACUGCUACAGCCAAAGAUCCCUCUGGGGUGCUUUUAAACCUGGUGGCUGGUGAACCCCUUGGAAGUGCAGCUGAGGGAAAUGCUCAGGGUCAUAUGGAGAACCCAGCCCAACCAUUAGCCCCUGAGGCCCCACUGAAGGCCAGCCUAGGGGAUAGGACAAGUCAGACAAAGUCCUGCUGUUGAGGAGCCCCUACUCUAGGUCAAGAGGAAGGAAACAACCCCUGAAGUGUGAAUAAAAAUGGGAGACUGAA